AUUCUACUCCCUCAGUCCGGAAUUACUUGUCGGCAAAAUGGUAAGGAAUGGAUGUGUCUAGAACUAAGAUACGUAUAGAUACAUCCAUUUCUAUGACAAGUAAUUCCGGACGGAAAGAGUAAUUA
rfam:Hordeum vulgare subsp. vulgare, WGS project CAJW01000000 data, contig: morex_contig_37986